rnacentral:misc_RNA from 1 species
AAGAGAAGAAAAAAAAAAAAAAAUCCUGAAGACAAGUUUACCCUUGACUCUCAUUUUUCUUACCUUUUUCUUUCUUUUAAAAAACUAAAAGAAAUUAAUUGACCUUGUCAUCUUUCCAAUCCUCAAUCUAUUUUCUUUACCCCUUUAAUUCAAAAGACCCGAACCAUUAAUUGGGUAAAGGUUUUUCUCAUUACUCGUGAUAUUGCGGACUAAUCUGGUUGGAGCGGGUUUAGAUCGAUGUUUAAGCUGUGGAAAAGCGUUGUUAACUGAUCGGCUUCUGCAGGUUAAUUUCUUGUAAUGUUAUGAACCCAUGGACUGAUAUGAUUCUAACCGAUUUGAUGAUUCUCAAAAUCGCAGGAGAAGAGAGUAAAGACAUUGGCGGAACCAAGAUUUCAAGUUAGAUGGGGCGGAAUUAUUAAAAAUAUGGCUAAUAGUCCUCCGUAAAAUCAAUGUUUAUAUCUUUUUCAUUAAUUAUCUAUUUAACUAAGUACAUUUUAAUUUAAUAAAAUAUUAUUAUGAUUAUUAUAUAAUAAUUAAGCGAUUUAUUAUGAUAUAUGUUAUCAUUUGAAUUGAAAAUUAUUCACUUCAAAAUAUAUUAUGAUACAUAAAUUUUCAUAAUAAUCAUUUAUAUGAAAAUCAUUUUUAUACAAUAAAUUUUCAAGAAAAUCA